ACGGAAGGCAGCAGUGGGGAAUAUUGGGCAAUGGGGGGAACCCUGACCCAGCAACGCCGCGUGAGGGAAGAAGGUUUUCGGAUCGUAAACCUCUGUCCUUGGUGAAGAGCAAGAGACGGUAACCAGGGAGGAAGCCCCGGCUAACUACGUGCCAGCAGCCGCGGUAAUACGUAGGGGGCAAGCGUUGUCCGGAAUGAUUGGGCGUAAAGGGCGCGUAGGCGGCCUUUUAAGUCUGAAGUGAAAGUCCUGUUUUUAAGAUGGGAAUUGCUUUGGAUACUGGAAGGCUUGAGUGCAGGAGAGGUUAGUGGAAUUCCCAGUGUAGCGGUGAAAUGCGUAGAGAUUGGGAGGAACACCAGUGGCGAAGGCGACUAACUGGACUGUAACUGACGCUGAGGCGCGAAAGUGUGGGGAGCAAACAGGAUUAGAUACCCUGGUA
rnacentral:rRNA from 1 species